GGGCGGUUGGCUCAGAGGUUAGAGCACCUGCCUUACAAGCAGGGGGUCAGAGGUUCGAAUCCUCUACCGCCCA
rnacentral:tRNA from 1 species